UGACGGUACCACUUGAAUAAGCUCCGGCUAACUACGUGCCAGCAGCCGCGGUAAUACGUAGGGAGCAAGCGUUAUCCGGAUUUACUGGGUGUAAAGGGCGUGUAGGCGGGACAUCAAGUCAGAUGUGAAAGCACGAGGCUCAACUUCGUGUCUGCAUUUGAAACUGACGUUCUUGAGUGCUGGAGAGGCUAACGGAAUUCCUAGUGUAGCGGUGAAAUGCGUAGAUAUUAGGAGGAACACCAGUGGCGAAGGCGGUUAGCUGGACAGUAACUGACGCUGAGGCGCGAAAGCGUGGGUAGCAAACAGGAUUAGAUACCCUG
rnacentral:rRNA from 1 species